rnacentral:misc_RNA from 1 species
AACCUAGCACACCUGCGGUGUGUACCUGCGGAAGGAUCAUUAAUGUGAUGGAUGUGCUAGUCUUGACCUCUCAAUCCUCCCUUCAAUAAUAUUGUUGGGUGGGGGCCUGACGGCUCGAGGGGAAGGGAAAUAAAAGCCCGUUUGGGUGUGCACUCCAAUAUAAAUCCACUUUUUUAUACCUUGUGCAUCUCUGCCUGCUGAAUGAUGAAAAGGAUAUUGAAUAGUAUUUGUCAUUGUUCA